UGGGGAAUAUUGCACAAUGGGCGCAAGCCUGAUGCAGCCAUGCCGCGUGUAUGAAGAAGGCCUUCGGGUUGUAAAGUACUUUCAGUCGGGAGGAAGGUGUCAAGGUUAAUAACCUUGGCAAUUGACGUUACCGACAGAAGAAGCACCGGCUAACUCCGUGCCAGCAGCCGCGGUAAUACGGAGGGUGCAAGCGUUAAUCGGAAUUACUGGGCGUAAAGCGCACGCAGGCGGUUGAUUGAGUCAGAUAUGAAAUCCCCGGGCUUAACCCGGGAAUUGCAUCUGAUACUGGUCAGCUAGAGUCUUGUAGAGGGGGGUAGAAUUCCAUGUGUAGCGGUGAAAUGCGUAGAGAUGUGGAGGAAUACCGGUGGCGAAGGCGGCCCCCUGGACAAAGACUGACGCUCAGGUGCGAAAGCGUGGGGAGCAAACAGG
rnacentral:rRNA from 1 species